AUAACCUUACUUGAACAUGAUAUGUUCUAUAGGCUCGUACCACUGUAUCCUUGAGUUCUAAGAGAUAGGAAACUAAGUCUGGUGGAUGACUCGUGGCCAUUGGACCAGAGCGUGAUUAAUAGCUUCCACGGCCCCUCAGGUCUUGGCACCGUAAAUGAUUGUUCUCGGCCCCAAUUGUGGUGUUGGGAUGUUCUAAUAGCUGUCUGACAGACU